rnacentral:rRNA from 1 species
GUGUCAGCAGCCGCGGUAAUACAGAGACCUCGAGCGUUAUCCGGAUUUACUGGGCGUAAAGGGUCCGCAGGUGGUUUUGUAAGUCUUCGGUUAAAUUCUUGAGCUCAACUCGAGAACCGCCGAGGAAACUAUAAGACUAGAGACCGGGAGAGGCAAGCGGAAUUGCCGGUGUAGUAGUAAAAUGCGUUAAUAUCGGCAAGAACACCAAAUGCGAAGGCAGCUUGCUAGAACGGUUCUGACACUCAGGGACGAAAGCGUGGGGAGCGAUACGGAUUAGAAACCCCUGUAGUCC